rnacentral:rRNA from 1 species
UACGGGGGGGGCAAGCGUUGUUCGGAAUUACUGGGCGUAAAGGGCGUGUAGGCGGCCAACUAAGUCCGACGUGAAAUCCCCAGGCUUAACCUGGGAACUGCGUCGGAUACUGGAUGGCUUGAAUCCGGGAGAGGGAUGCGGAAUUCCAGGUGUAGCGGUGAAAUGCGUAGAUAUCAGGAGGAACACCUAUUGCGAAGGCAGCUCGCUGGGACGUAACUGACGCUGAGACGCGAAAGCGUGGGGAGCAAACAGG